CGCAGAACCUUACCAGCCCUUGACAUGUCCAGGACCGGUCGCAGAGAUGUGACCUUCUCUUCGGAGCCUGGAGCACAGGUGCAGCAUGGCUGUCGUCAGCUCGUGUCGUGAGAUGUUGGGUUAAGUCCCGCAACGAGCGCAACCCCCGUCCUUAGUUGCUACCACUUAGUUGAGCACUCUAAGGAGACUGCCGGUGAUAAGCCGCGAGGAAGGUGGGGAUGACGUCAAGUCCUCAUGGCCCUUACGGGCUGGGCUACACACGUGCUACAAUGGCGGUGACAAUGGGAUGCAAAGGGGCGACCCCUAGCAAAUCUCAAAAAAAA
rnacentral:rRNA from 1 species